CAGAGCAGCCUCUUCAGGAGGAUCCCAGCCAUGAAGACUCUACCCUAAGGGAGCUUAUUCCAUAGCUGACCCCUCACAAGGGCAAGUUCACAGAGCUGUUUUGCUCUUGUGACUAUCCUUGCGGUCCCCUGAACUGGAACCUAAAAGCCAGGAGCUGAGAAAAGCCUGGGGGUGAGGCUUUAAAAUCUCAUUGCCAACUGCACACCGAUGGAUUGAAGUAGGUGACUCAGCGGUCCAUGGAGAUCCAUGGGACUAAGUUAAAGGUACUUAUUUUAUCAGCCUAUUUCAUAAUUGAGGCUGUGUCUACAUCUCAAUGCAUCACUUCAGAAAGCUUGUGACAUCAUUCUGAUCACUCAGACAAAGAGGUCUCCACUAGAUUUCUCCACUAAAAAGAUUCAUUUUUCUUCCAUGUAAUUAAUACAUAAUCGAUACGGAGAUUGACACCAUGUUGAUAUCAUGUUUCCCAGUAAAGAUUCACCCAAAUUCUUGCCUGAACACUUCCCACCACCUGAUGGAGUGGAGGAUUCUAAGUUCCAAGAGGGCAGAAGCAGAUUUUCUUUCAUUUACUGUUGUGGCCUCACACGUAGCUACGACUGUGCCUGCUG